rnacentral:rRNA from 1 species
UACAGAGGUCCCAAGCGUUGUUCGGAUUCACUGGGCGUAAAGGGUGCGUAGGUGGCGAGGUAAGUCGGAUGUGAAAUCUCCAAGCUUAACUUGGAAAUGGCAUUGGAAACUACCUUGCUUGAGGGUCGGAGGGGGAGCUGGAAUGACUUGGUGUAGCAGUGAAAUGCGUAGAUAUCAAGUGGAACACCAGUGGCGAAGGCGAGUCCCUGGACGACUCCUGACACUGAGGCACGAAAGCUAGGGGAGCAAACAGG